rnacentral:lncRNA from 1 species
GCCCGCAGCGCAGCAGGCGGAACCUCCUGACUCUGCCUCGGCCGCGGGGACCGCACAGAACAAAGGGGGGUGGGGCGGCGAGCGCCUGGGGCUCCGGAGAAGGUCUCCGGGGUCCGAUUUCAAGGCCAGAGUUAAAGCGCUCUCUACAAAAGAGCCCCAGGGGUCCCUGAGGCUUGACCUCCAAACUUGAACUCUGCCUGAACUGACGUCUUCUUUUUUGAGGUUUGAAGACAUUUAAUCAAGUCUCCUCCCAGGACAUUUGAUUUUUGCACUUGUGGGCUCCAGCUGGGGGAAGACGUGCCAAACCACCAGUGGGAAGGCGGCCCGGAGGUACUUCCAGUCCGCCUGGAAGCAGCAGCCGUGACCGCCUGGUACCCGGCCGCUGGCUUUUCUGAUGUCAUCUCAGAUUCAAAUGAUCCAGAACUGAGGUCACCCACCCUCCGCCUGGCGUCUCUUCUGCUCCUGUCGGGAAAAGCACGCUUCCAGACCCUGGAGCAGGGCCUUGGGGGGACCUCUGCCUUCCCGGCCUCCGGCCCUGCGGCCGUCAUCCGGCUCCGAAGGCCUCUUCCUCUGACUCAGGAUUUCACAGUCAUCGCUCACAAACGUGACCCAAGCUAAAGGACCUUCAAAAAGGAGCACUGAACCCCAAACGGCAGCAAUCGGGGAGUCCCACCUGCAGGCAGAGCCCAGCCGGGACACCGGCCCGGCGCCCAGGCCCCACAGAGGCCACGCCUGGUGCCUGCUCCUGGGCCAGGGCUCGGAGCCGCGCUUGCCCGGCAUUCGCUCCUCGGCUCCCAAGGCCCCCACCCCUCCCCACACUGCCCCACAAGAGGCCCUACCUUGGCCCUGGGACCUCAGUGUAACUUUCAGAGCCCAGCUCGGGCCCUGGGGGUCCCCCUGAAGGUCAGCGGCACCCACGGCAGGGACAAGGGCGUGGCCAGGAGCUCAGGCCCCAGAGCCACACAACCCGUGUAAGUGGUAGCCGUGCAACUCGGCCGAUCGGCUCAACAUUUCAGCCUUGGCUGUCUUAUCUGUAAAAUGAAACUAACAAUACUGCCUGGCUUAGGAGUUCCCGUUGUGGCUCCGCAGGUUAAGAACCCAAUUAGUAUCCUUAGUACCCAGGUUCCAUUCCUGGCUUUUGUGGGUUAAGGAUCUGGUACUACUACAAGCUGCAGCAUAGAUCGCAGAUGGAGCUCGGAUCCAGUGUUGCUGUGGCUGUAGGCUAGCAGCCUCAGGUCUGAUUCGACCCUUAGCCUAGGAAUUUCCAUAUGCUGCAGGUGCAGCCCUGAAAAAAAAAAAAAAAAGGACCUAGCUUAUAAGGUCAAGGAGACAAUCAAACAGGACGUUGCACUCAGUGUGCUUAAUCCAAUGUCUGCCCAUUAAUUGUUAGAAACGCCUACUGUCGUCGCUGUAUGUUUUCUUAUUCUCUCAUUUCUGCUUUUCCCUGUGGCCACCUUGUCGACCUCUGUUAACUUGUAAGUUCUCCAAGGGCACAGACAAUGCUGUCUUUGUAUGAUAUUCUGCGCGCGUACGCGCACACACGCACACACACACACACCAGCAUUGCUGGACCAGUGCUGGGGGCAGAGCAGAGAGUGGAUUGACCAAUUUCCCACCUGUGCUGAUAUAAUGUGGGUCCAGGGUAAAGAGGAAGGGCUGCCCACCAGGAGACGGGCAGCGAGGGAGCUUUCCAAGGGGCACCGUUAUUUUAUCAGCUGUGACCCAAAGGACAGGAUAAUACCUUCUGACUUCAGGGGAUUUAUAAAGUAGGUGAAGAAGAGCUGAUACGGACCUGACCACCUCCAGAUUCGGGAUUUCAGACAACGCGUGAGAAAGGAACGAGAAGGAAAGUGGAGAAAGGAGAGGCAGACAGGACCCCAGCUGCAGCAUGCAUGUGACCCAGCAGACACGGAGCCACCUCUCCCGUGUCAGAGUCAUGAUCGAACACGAUUCCUCAACCAACAAACCUGAACUCAAGGUAGAGUGGAAGGAGGAAGUGAGAGAAGGCGAUUGAGGCCGGGGAAGGACCGGAAGACUGAAAGAGUCCUUUACCUCCCUACAAGCAGAAGGAAGAGACAGACCACAGCCGAGUGGCUCUCUGCUCUCCAGCCUGGGACCCGGAGCUCUACCAUCGCCGCUGUUCCAAUCCAGCCCGGGGCACUGGUGUUAUCUCUUCAGAGGUAUGCACCUGUUUUCCUCCCUCCAGAACACACCUUGCAGAGACCCAUAGUGACCCCACUCCCAGCAGCGUCUGCCCUGAUCCUGACGGGGGGGCCGGCACACCGAGCCCCUGGCAUCAGGCAACACCCGAGCAGCAGCAUCGUGGGUGGAAAAUAGUUAGAAAGGCACAUUUCAGGCAUAAAGACCAACAAUUUUGGCUUUGACUGGACACGCAGAAGACAAGGGUCCGCCAAGGGAUCUUAAAACACAAACAACCACAAAACAAAGCCAAUAAAAUCAAGCACCGUGAAAUGACUUUGGACUCCAUAUUGCACAAGUUUGUUUUUUAGGUAAACUCGGGGUUUCGGUUUUAGCACUAAAUAGAUCAGGGGGGUGGGGGGGAUGAAAGUGGGCACGUUUGCAUCCUGGGCUGUGCCAGGUGUGCACAUUUCCAGGUAGAUGGAGCCAAUUAAUGAACGAAAUAAGAACGAAACAGAAAUGAUUGUUCCAGGGUGAGCUUCUGGGCUGCACCUCCUUUCACAGAUGCCCAGCUUCGAAGUCAUGUUUGCUGCCGGCACAAGGAGAAGGUGGCCAUGGCUGGGGCUGUGGCCGGCCACUGUCCACGGUGCAAAAACAAGCGUCAGAGGAAGGACGCGCUGGAGCCUGCAGGAAAGAGCUCCAUUGCCGAGGCUUUAAAUAAGCCCAGCCUCUGUCCCAGGGCUAAUCAUCUCCAACAUUCUGGAGUUUCCUGGCAGCCUGGCAGUUAAGGAUCUGGCGCUGUCACUGCUGUGGCUCGGGUUCAGUUCCUAGCCUGGGAACUUCCACAAACAGCCAAACAAGAAAAAAACCUUAAAAGAAAUUUCAAAUGUUCUGCUUACAUUAAAUGGCCUUGGAACCUAAGGACCUCUGUGGGACCAAAAUAAAACAGCCUUUCCCUGGCCCUAGAGGAGUAAGCCUGGAAAUUAAAUAGCCACAGCUUUGUUAUCUGCUCUUCAUCUAUCAUUAGUUUGGGAUUAACUUUGGGCCCCUCUCUCCAACUUUCAGCCAAAGAGCACAGGGAACAAAGCCUAAUUUCAUGAUGGCAAAUCUGCAAAAAAAAAAAAAAAAAAAAAAAUAAAUAAAUAAAAACAAGAAUUGAGUCCCCUGCGCACGCACACGUGUGCGCGCGCACACACACACACACACACACACACACACACACCAGCAAAUGGCGAUGCCUUUUGGCUGAUCUGCUUUCUUCCCACGCACGCUGCAAACCGACGGGUCAGAAGUGGUGUCCAGGGCAUCUCUGUGGGCCGUGAUCUGCUGCCUUCCCCGGGUCUCAGGAGAACAUGAGCUCGGUAGCUGGCCAGACAUCUCCUGCCACGAUCCAGCCCUGUGCUGCCAAGGUCGGAGCCCACAAGGGCGUCUGAAAACGUGCAAAAGUGUGUUCUCUUGACUGCCAGGCACAGGCCCAGCCUAAGGGAGGGAACCAGACCUUUUCCUGCCAGGAUCCAGCCCCCGGCGUCAUGGAAACUGGGGAAUCAUUCCUGACACCCCUUUUGACUCUGCCAAGGUUACAUGCAGCUGUGGUCACUGCCUCCAACUCAAGGACAUCCUUGAGCCUAAGAUCUUGGAGAGGCCUGGCUCUUAAUCAUUAAACACAUAUUAAUAAAAACCAAUGUGAUACAAUGUAUCCCGAUAUCUGUCACAGUAACAUAAGAAUGUUAUAUAUUAAUGCGAGUGUAUUGUGCUAACAUGAAUCAUAUAUUAAUAGCCUUUUGAUGAUUGAGGUUAUAUUUAUAUUAACUCUAUCAUAAUAUGAAAUAGGAUAUAAAUAGGCUGUCCCCCUGCAUUUGUGAAAGUGACGCGGGCACAGCAGUAGGUCCCCGGCUGACCCAGAUGCCCAGGCUGGUGCCUCUGGCUGACGGCUCUGCUCUCCACCCCUCCAGGAACUGCUCUUGCCUGAGGCCGUCCACCUCACCCUUUACCUGCCUCUUCCCGGGGAUAAGCUUCCUGGUGGAUGUACAGAACCGAGGCUCAGUCCCUGCCCCCCACCUUGGGGAGGCCCUGAGACAGAGCUCCCCCGGGGGAGGGGGGCAGGCUGUGGCCAGCUUCCUCUGCCCCCUCCCCUCAUAGUGGCUUCCUCUCAGAGCCCGCUGCCUGGGCACGUCAACCUGCAGCGACUGGUCCCAGCAGUCGCCUGGUAGGUGGGUGCUCAGAGGGCUGCGGGCUGCGGCCCCCCAGCCCCUGGCUCUCGUGGGGGUGGGGCAUCCAUCACCCUCACCUCAAAUCCAGCUGCCUGGAGACCCGGCCCGAAGCAGCAGUCCCCUUCCACUUCCCCAGACUGGGCCUUAAUUCCGUUUAGAUGGGUGAGCCAUGAGGUCUUCCUGUACAGCAGAGGGACCUGUAUCGUCUCUUGGGAUAGACCAUGACGGAAGACAACGCGAGGAAAAGAACAUACAUAUACAUGAACGACUGGGUCACUUUGCUGUACGGCAGAAAUGGACACAACCUUGUAAAUCAACU